rnacentral:misc_RNA from 1 species
UCACCCCUCAAGCCCGGCUUGUUGUUGGACGCGGCGGCGCCUUUACUGCGCCCCGCCCGUCUCAAAGAUAAUGACGGCGUCUGCGAGGACCCCUGUACACUGAGCUUUCGGGCACGUACUAGGUGUGGAAUCCAGACCCGGUCACCGUCCCUUUUAGGGACAACUUUUUAACCA